AGCAGGGUGGCUUAGUGGAAAGAGCACAGGCUGGGGAGUCAGAGGUCAUGGGUUCUAAUCCUGGCUCUGCUA
rnacentral:tRNA from 1 species